rnacentral:tRNA from 1 species
AGUUAAUGAGCUUGAAUAAGCAUAUGUUUUGAAAACAUAAUAUAGAAGCUAAAAUCUUCUAUUAACUU